GCUUACAGCCACCCACCCUGAACGCCCGAACUCGUCCGAUCUCGGAAGCUAAGCAGGGCCGGGCCUGGUUAGUACUUGGAUGGGGGACCGCCUGGGAAUACCAGGUGCUGUAUGUU
rnacentral:rRNA from 1 species